GGCGAACGGGUGAGUAACGCGUGGGUGACCUACCUUCGAGUGGGGGAUAACGUUCCGAAAGGAGCGCUAAUACCGCAUGAAGUUCCGGGUUUGAACAACUGGAAACCAAAGUCGGGGAUCGCAAGACCUGGCGCUUGGAGAGGGGCCCGCGUCUGAUUAGCUAGUUGGCGGGGUAAUGGCCCACCAAGGCGACGAUCAGUAGCCGGCCUGAGAGGGCGGACGGCCACACUGGGACUGAGACACGGCCCAGACUCCUACGGGAGGCAGCAGUGGGGAAUUGUUCGCAAUGGGCGCAAGCCUGACGACGCAACGCCGCGUGGGGGAUGAAGGUCUUCGGAUUGUAAACCCUUGUCGAGCGGGACGAACGGCCCGCGGCCUAAUACGCCGUGGGAAUGACGGUACCGCUAAAGGAAGCCACGGCUAACUCUGUGCCAGCAGCCGCGGUAAUACAGAGGUGGCAAGCGUUGUUCGGAAUUACUGGGCGUAAAGGGCGCGUAGGCGGCCUUCUAAGUCAGACGUGAAAUCCCCCGGCUUAACCUGGGAACUGCGUCUGAUACUGGAAGGCUUGAGUGCGGGAGAGGGAUGU
rnacentral:rRNA from 1 species